rnacentral:ncRNA from 1 species
AGUUAUUCGUCACGGAUGGACGUUAACAGCACUGGUGCGGGUGAAGAUAUCGCUGCCUGGUUUCUUGUUUCCAGUUAAAGAACAAGUGGCGUGCAUGUGC